rnacentral:lncRNA from 1 species
GUGUGGUCAUGUCUGUGGACUGACUAGGACAAGGAAGCUCACACAUGUCCACAUGAGGACUGAGACUCACAAGACACAUGUCCACUGGACAGAAAGUCCCUGCACACACCUGCACACAUCUGUACAUUGUAUAGGUACCCUGGACCCAUCCUAAUAAUAUUCCUUGGAUAACUAGGAAUAUAUGAACUUCCCAAGCCACACACAAGUACUGUGCCUAAGCUAUGCAGUAUGCAUGAAAACAUAUACUGGGCACAUACCAAUGCUCUGUACAUGCAUUUAUAUGAAAUAUCAUGCACAGCUUCUUGUAUGCAGACUUCGAUUGAGUGCUGGAAGCCCAGUACUCAGAUUUGUGCACAUAUACACCACCUACAGCAAGCAUACAAGUUCUUCCUGCAAAGACCAGUAGACAAAAAGUCCAGCCCCUUCCAGAAGUCACUCUCGAGCGGUGUCACGCCAUUCCUUUCAUCCUUCAUUUCUGUACCCACACAGGCAGUGACAGAGUGGAGAGGAAAAGGUGCUUACGAAGAAAAUGAUUGUCUGCUGAACAAAAAACAGUAG